rnacentral:rRNA from 1 species
GAUGAACGCUGGCGGCGUGCCUAAUACAUGCAAGUCGAGCGAACAGACGAGGAGCUUGCUCCUCUGACGUUAGCGGCGGACGGGUGAGUAACACGUGGAUAACCUACCUAUAAGACUGGGAUAACUUCGGGAAACCGGAGCUAAUACCGGAUAACAUGUUGAACCGCAUGGUUCAACAGUGAAAGACGGUCUUGCUGUCACUUAUAGCUGGAUCCGCGCCGCAUUAGCUAGUUGGUAAGGUAACGGCUUACCAAGGCAACGAUGCGUAGCUGACCUGAGAGGGUGAUCGGCCACACUGGAACUGAGACACGGUCCAGACUCCUACGGGAGGCAGCAGUAGGGAAUCUUGCGCAAUGGGCGAAAGCCUGACGGAGCAACGCCGCGUGAGUGAAGAAGGUCUUCGGAUCGUAAAACUCUGUUAUUAGGGAAGAACAAAUGUGUAAGUAACUAUGCACGUCUUGACGGUACCUAAUCAGAAAGCCACGGCUAACUACGUG